ACAGCACACGUACGUCUGCCCGACGUCGGCUCAAGAGCGUACGUCGGCCUCCUUAUCUGAAACAUCUAAUAAGUAUCGGCCAGGCAUCGGCCAAAUCUUCAGUCAAGUCAACGGUAUUUCCCGCUCAUCAAGCUUGUCUGUUACGUCGGCUUUGGGUCGGAUAACUAUACCGGAGGCCGAUGCCGCGCUUCUCUCUGUUGGUGCGUGUCCAGUUACUCCUCCCUUUGCUAUGCAACCCACCAGAGCAAAGGCGACAUCAUGGGUGUAUCAAGUAUGUACAAGAACUAAGUAAAUGAUAAUAAGUGAAGAAAAAUGGAAUCCGUUAAGUAAAUGUAAAUGUUUUAAUAUAAUAUACAUGUUGCGAAUUCUUUAUGGUUUAUCUAUUAUUGUACGUAACUUAUCUCGUUAAUGUGUUGGGUUACGUGAAAUGCGCAGUGCAUAGUUUAAAGCAUAUACGUUUCUAGCGUAAGUGUGGUAUUCUCUGUUACGAAAGUAUACUAGCUGGAGUUUUCGUAGAGUUCGCAAGCUUUUCACUCGUGUGCAGCAUCCUUUUGUGCAAGUUAAAGUUUAUGACACAAAACUACCUCAGUUGAAUACAGGCAUGUGUACAAGGUUGAAACUUGCAUAAAUAAAAGCGAAAUCUGAUGACUCCUCCCUAAUCAGAGUACUGAAGUGGUUAACAGCCUUUAAAACUAGCAAUCAGUGGGGUAAUUCUCAACAAUAAAAGUAAAAAUAAAUAAAAUAGCAGCGCUUUCUUUGCUUUUAAUGACACACAGCUGCUAAGUUCCAUUAAUCCGAAGCAGGAGGGGGUAGUAAUGUACAUACGCUGGUUGCCAGCCGCCGUUAAUACUCAAACAAUUCCACGUCAACUCGAACACGCAAAACCCCGGUAUGAAGCAUUGUCAUGAGCAUGCCAAACCAACAGAUGGCGAUAUAUUCCUUAACCCAGAGAAGCCACUCCAGUCUCGUCUUGCCAUGAACAAGGAAAAAAUGCGGGAGCUGACUUCGCAGACGUACGUGGUUCAGGUAAGUUUUCGACAAAAAUCUUAUAUUUAAAGUCUUAAAAGUUAGUAUAAGGCACUCCGUCUACUACAGCACAGCAAAUAAAGUCAUAACGUUUGUAGUACUAGCAGCGCUAUUUAGAUUUGAUGCAUUUUUGCUAAAAUGUUUUAUUUAAUAGAGAUUAUAAUUUCCAUUAUUUUUAUCAAUCUAAAUACCUUUCACUUGUUCAGUAUUGUGUUUUUGUUGCUAUGUAAACGAUGAACUUAAUAUAGGCAGAUGGCCAUUGCUUUUCUGAACAGCAGUUGGAAGUAUUCUGAGGUAAUUUAAAUUUUAGGAAAAAUAUGAGGAUGAUUAUCGAUGAUUAUAUAAUUGAGUUCAAUAACAUAGUAAUUUUUGUUGUUUCAUUUCAUUGUGAGUGUUUGUUUGAUGUUUAAAUGAUCAACAUAACAUGGUUAAUUGUUCUGUCCCGUUUGUUAGAAAAUCUUU